rnacentral:lncRNA from 1 species
UGGUCUGUUCACGUUUAAAGACUUCCCUUAGUUAUAAACUGUGGCAGACCUCUCAAUUGAGACUAAGAUAUGAAGUUUUUAAACUUGAGUUUUUGAAAUGGCAGCCCUAGGGAUUGAAAUACCAGGAUCAUUUAGUUAAAAAAAAAUAAAAAGACAAGCCUGUAUAUGCAGAUAAAGCGUAGCUUCCUUUGCAAAAGUGUUGAGGUCUACUUGUGGUAAAUCAGCAUCAGGCAUUUAAAAGUCCUAAUUUAAGUUCUCAGACAAGACAAUUCUUUGAGCACACCCUAAAGAAAAUGAGAGACUGCAUUCAUUACAGAAGGCAGCAGUAACAAAUAUUGGUGACCAUUCUCAGUUAAGACAGAGAUGAUGUGCUUAAUGGCAUCACAAAGGAUUACCAUUCAGAAAAAAGGAGACAGCAAAGCAGACCACGAGGAGUGUGUCUACAUCAAGGUAAUUUUCAGCCCAAAAAU